rnacentral:rRNA from 1 species
CGAACGCUGGCGGCGUGCCUAAUACAUGCAAGUUGAGCGCUGAAGGUUGGUACUUGUACCAACUGGAUGAGCCGCGAACGGGUGAGUAACGCGUGGGGAAUCUGCCUUUGAGCGGGGGACAACAUUUGGAAACGAAUGCUAAUACCGCAUAAAAACUUUAAACACAAGUUUUAAGUUUGAAAGAUGCAAUUGCAUCACUCAAAGAUGAUCCCGCGUUGUAUUAGCUAGUUGGUGAGGUAAAGGCUCACCAAGGCGAUGAUACAUAGCCGACCUGAGAGGGUGAUCGGCCACAUUGGGACUGGGACACGGCCCAAACUCCUACGGGAGGCAGCAGUAGGGAAACUUCGGCGAUGGACGAAAGUCUGACCGAGCAACGCCGCGUGAGUGAAGAAGGUUUUCGGAUCGUAAAACUCUGUUGGUAGAGAAGAACGUUGGUGAGAGUGGAAAGCUCAUCAAGUGACGGUAACUACCCAGAAAGGGACGGCUAACUACGUG